AACAACUACAUGCAAUCAACUGCUGCUGUCCUCAGCCAGGCUGCACACCACCUGUGUUCUCUGCCCAGGUGUGCUCACUGCAGCUUCAGCCAGCCUCACACUUCACUGUCAUCAUCAGCCAAUCUGGAAUAAUCCAAACAGAAGGCCCCUGCCUUUAGAAGGUGCAGCAAAGGCUGGCAUUGCACCACUGAAUUCAGAUCAACAUGGGACAGACCAGGCUUUCGAGCAGCAGUUCAGCUGGGAUUCAUUCUGGAUGAGGACUCAGAGGCCUCCAGUC